rnacentral:rRNA from 1 species
GACGAACGCUGGCGGCGUGCUUAACACAUGCAAGUCGAACGGUAAGGCCCUUUGGGGUACACGAGUGGCGAACGGGUGAGUAACACGUGAGUAACCUGCCCUGGACUCUGGGAUAAGCAUUCGAAAGGGUGUCUAAUACUGGAUAUGAUCUGUGACCGCAUGGUUGUGGGUGGAAAGAUUUUUUGGUCUGGGAUGGGCUCGCGGCCUAUCAGCUUGUUGGUGGGGUGAUGGCCUACCAAGGCGUCGACGGGUAGCCGGCCUGAGAGGGCGACCGGCCACACUGGGACUGAGAUACGGCCCAGACUCCUACGGGAGGCAGCAGUGGGGAAUAUUGCGCAAUGGGCGGAAGCCUGACGCAGCAACGCCGCGUGCGGGAUGACGGCCUUCGGGUUGUAAACCGCUUUCACCCAUGGCGAAGCUUUUGUGACGGUAGUGGGAGAAGAAGCACCGGCCAACUACGUGCCAGCAGCCGCGGUAAGAC